UCAGGGAUAUGCCUACCUAAUGACGCAAUGACGUCAAUGCAGGUCAAUAGCACACUGGCGAAGCGGACUGGCGGGCUGAGGCUACCGUGUGGCUGCGUGUGAACUAAUUUAGUUGUCUCCCAAUACACGGGAACGAGUCUCCGCGGUAAACCCGUUAGGUUGCAUGGUAUAGCCAUUAUAAGAAAUAUUGCCUAUUGAUAGGCUAUCAUUCCCUUCACACUAAACUUCGUUAUUUGACUCAAUUGCUGUGAGAGCUGGUUGUACCUGGUCGUCUAACACUGUGAAUGGAGCGGGAGAUAAGUCGAUCUGCAUCACAAUAUCACAUGUUGCACGGAUCAUUCAUACUUCCCUGCUCCCUAGUCAUUCACAUUUAUUGCGGUGCGCAUCGCAUAGUCUAUGAUGAUUAAAAUUACCCCGAUUUUUGGCGGGCUUCUUUCAUCAGUUGGUUUUCGCGCUUAACUCGGUGUUCCCGUCCGCGCUCUGUUCCUGAAUAAGAACAACACCAGAUAUGUUCGCCCCAGAUAGAGAACUGAAACGACGCGCACGGCGUGACCCCUUUCGCCGUCCUGCUUUGGGCUCCGACCUAGAACUCUUUCCCUUUCUUUGUCUCAAAAAGCAUCUCAUUCAGACGAAGCCCUUUUGUAGACUACUCGAGCACAAACAGACAAGACUUCUCACACAGGGCUUUGUACCAUAACUUUGGUGUCAAUUGUGUGAGGAGGAGGGGUGGGAGACUGUAUUCUUACAGCUGUCUCAGCAAGUGGUCCCUGCUACGGUGAGGGAAGAAGUAGUCACGAUAACUUGACCGUGAAGGGCUCGAGCGCCAUGUGACAUCCUGGCCAGAAACGUCGACUGGAUUGAGAUUUCAUCAUCUCCAUUGAGAAAGGGAGCCGGCCUAUCACCCGUGGACCACUAAAAUCACCACCUCUUGGUCCUUCCUCUCUCGUGUUCAGCGCAAGGGCCUUCCUGACUGUGUGACAGAGGUAGUCCUGAGUGACGCCGUGAAUGACUCUACGAUGCCUUACUGCCCCCCCCCCCCCACACCUCUUCCCGGCUGCUUCUGAUUAAGGUAUCUUCACUUCACAUUUCAAAGACUUACAAAAAGUCCCAAAAAAUUAAGCCCUUUCCCUCAAAUGUUGCUGUUCUGAAACAGACAAAUAGGAGGGAUGUAUUUUGCAGAAGGAGGGUUAUUGGUACUGUUCCAUACCAUGUAUUUAGCAGAAGGAGGGUUAUUGGUACUGUUCCAUACCAUGUAUUUAGCAGAAGGAGGGUUAUUGGUACUGUUCCAUACCAUGUAUUUAGCAGAAGGAGGGUUAUUGGUACUGUUCCAUACCAUGUAUUUAGCAGAAGGAGCGUUAUUUGUACUGUUCCGUACCUUGGAACUUAACGUAUCUUAGAUGAUGCCCCAGUGUAGGUUCCAAUCGUUUUGCAAUACAACUGUGCUCGCUGCUAUCAGUGAAAAGGUUCCACCCCAAAAAAGAUCCCUGUUUCUAGUACUCUUAUAAUGCAGCACGGCGGCUCGGACUAUUACUGUUACACUUGCGGUGUUGGCGAAGCUACUGUGAAAAUACAGUUUACCAAGCUACCGUUUACUUCACACUGACAGAAGUUAAGCUACACUGAAGCCACAUUUAAGAAAACAUAUAUUUUACUUAACUCAAGUUACUUUGGGAAAAUAGUUCACGACAUCCACACUGCUUCUUGGAAAAGGAUCAUAUUUGAAUCUGAAACGUCAUGGAGUACAAAUUGCAAGGGCAGAUCACUAUGAGGUCAUACGUUAACAGAAUGUGCCUAUUAAACACAAAAACUAUUUUCAUGGGAGAAUUGGGAAGGUCUGAUGCUGAAAAAGAAAGGAAAUUCUUGCCUACUUCAGUCCUAUUUUCUUUAAAAAAAGUUAAGUUAAUAACUACUGAAAACAAUACCAAAAGUUGAAUUUAGUUAAUGAACUACCACCAAGCUACUGCAAAAUGCAGUUAGUAGUUCACUACUCCUCCACACUGUACACUUGUCACCUGGUUGAGUGAGUGUGAAAGCACUCAAUCAUGAUCCACUUCCUGUGUGUGCCCAGCCUCUACUGAACCUGUGAUAGACUGAAAGAUGGGACUACCUGAGGUGUAUUAGUUAGUCUUACACUGUAGCAAAACGUUUUUUUUUUCAACGGGAACGUUUUUGCAAUAAAAACAAACGUUUUCAGCUUAGGUUCCAUUUGGUUCCUUGUGAAUACACCCUUGGAUUCUUCCAAAUAGCAACAGCUCAUUUUUGUUUUCUGUCGCAGACAGUUAGGAGCUAAAAGGAAGACGUCACGGUGUUUCACAUUAUCCAUGCAUAUGCUAGGGUGGUUGAUAGUUGGUUUAGUGGAAAGUGAGUUCUAGGUCAAACUAAAACACGGGGCACUUUUCUGUACCAGGCUGGCAGAUGCCAUUCACCCAGCCUUCCCCUCCAUCUCUCCCUUUCUCUCUCACAUCUCUGACGGAAGGAGAGGUGCCCGUCGUUCUAAGGCGGUUAUGGAAAAUGGGGCAGGCUGAGGGAU